GAAAGCAGGGGACCUUCGGGCCUUGCGCGGAUGGAUGAGCCGAUGUCGGAUUAGCUAGUUGGUGGGGUAAAGGCUCACCAAGGCGACGAUCCGUAGCUGGUCUGAGAGGAUGAUCAGCCACACUGGAACUGAGACACGGUCCAGACUCCUACGGGAGGCAGCAGUGGGGAAUAUUGGACAAUGGGCGCAAGCCUGAUCCAGCCAUGCCGCGUGGGUGAAGAAGGCCUUCGGGUUGUAAA
rnacentral:rRNA from 1 species